GACGGAGGGUGCAAGCGUUGUUCGGAAUUAUUGGGCGUAAAGAGCUCGUAGGCGGCUCGGUAAGUCAGGUGUCAAAUCCUCAGGCUCAACCUGGGGCUCCACCUGAUACUGCUGUGGCUAGAGUCCGGUAGGGGAGCGUGGAAUUCCUGGUGUAGCGGUGAAAUGCGCAGAUAUCAGGAGGAACACCAGCGGCGAAGGCGGCGCUCUGGGCCGGAACUGACGCUGAGGAGCGAAAGCGUGGGUAGCAAACAGG
rnacentral:rRNA from 1 species